rnacentral:rRNA from 1 species
GCGUGCGGGAAGAAGGCCUUCGGGUUGUAAACCGCUUUUGUCGGGGAAGAAAUCCUUCGAGCUAAUACCUUGAGGGGAUGACGGUACCCGAAGAAUAAGCACCGGCUAACUACGUGCCAGCAGCCGCGGUAAUACGUAGGGUGCAAGCGUUAAUCGGAAUUACUGGGCGUAAAGCGUGCGCAGGCGGUUGUGCAAGCCAGAUGUGAAAUCCCCGGGCUUAACCUGGGAACUGCAUUUGUGACUGCACGGCUCGAGUGCGGCAGAGGGGGAUGGAAUUCCGCGUGUAGCAGUGAAAUGCGU